rnacentral:rRNA from 1 species
AACGUACGCUGGCGGCACGCCUAACACAUGCAAGUCGAACGCAGUAGCAAUACUGAGUGGCAGACGGGUGAGUAUAAUGUGGGAAUCUGCCUUUUGGUUUGGAAUAACACGGGGAAACUUGUGCUAAUACCGAAUAAGCCCUUACGGGGAAAGUUUUAACGCCGAAAGAUGAGCCUGCACUUGAUUAGCUAGUUGGUAAGGUAAAGGCUUACCAAGGCAACGAUCAAUAGCUGAUUUGAGAGGAUGAUCAGCCACAUUGGGACUGAGACACGGCCCAAACUCCUACGGGAGGCAGCAGUGGGGAAUCUUGCACAAUGGAGGAAACUCUGACGCAGCGAUGCCGCGUGAGUGAAGAAGGCCCUUGGGUUGUAAAGCUCUUUCGUCGGGGAAGAAAAUGACUGUACCCGAAUAAGAAGGUCCGGCUAACUUCGUG